GAGCUCCGGGGGGCAACUCUGCCUCAAGUCACCAUCACAACCAGCAAUGCUGCAAUUCCCUUUACCAUGACCGGGUGACACUACUAUAGGUACAUUGAAACCAUCCACAAGGCUAACAUCAUAAAAAUCCGUUUCUCCCAAGCCGGUCCGAGCCCAUAUACGGCCACUCCAUCCAGUCGGAGAGGAGUAGAAGGUGGUUUCACCAGGUUUUAGGGCAAAGCCGUCACCAUUGUGGCCAUCACUAUGAGUGAUUAUUCCAGGCCAUAUAGUCUCAUUGCAUCCGUUCACCAUGAUGCAGGAAGUACCGGAAGCAAUUAUGGUGAAGGUGAAGAAGAAGAGCUUGUGAAUAUGAGCCAUCUGAAGCAUGCAUGCAGAAACUGACAGCAGUGUCUGUGAUGAAUGUGAGAUGGAUCGGGAGACAUAAUGUUGAUUAUAAAAGAGUGUAAGAUAUGAAGAGAAUGUUUGAUUACUUGUGGAAGAGAGUGAAUCUACUGCCAAAAGAGAUGGAUGAAAGAAGCUUCUUUGCUUGCUUAGCUUUCAUGGCUACGUAAACUGAUACCUUGCCUCAACCAAGUUAUAUGGAACUUCUAGCUGACGGGUUCUGCUUUGUAAGUAUCUAAUAUUCUAAUUCAAUCCUAUUAAAGCAAUUUAACAUAUACCAGUAUGGAUUCUUUUAAUUGGCAUUAAAUAACCUGCUUAAUAUAUUAGUCCAACUUCUAUGCA